UACGAAGGGGGGCUAGCGUUGCUCGGAAUCACUGGGCGUAAAAGCGCACGUAGGCGGCUUUUUAAGUCAGGGGGUGAAAUCCUGGAGCUCAACUCCAGAACUGCCUUUGAUACUGGGAAGCUUGAGUCCGGAAGAGGUGAGUGGAACUCCGAGUGUAGAGGUGAAAUUCGUAGAUAUUCGGAAGAACACCAGUGGCGAAGGCGGCUCACUGGUCCGGUACUGACGCUGAGGUGCGAAAGCGUGGGGAGCAAACAGG
rnacentral:rRNA from 1 species